AAGUGUGAAUUCACGUCAUUAAAAUCUGCUGAUGAUUUUCGGUGGAGAAGAAUCAAACCUAUUGGCCUUCAUCUUACAGUGCUCGUGAAGUUUGCUCAGAGACUCAAAAUCCCGUAGGCCACAUGGGGACCAUAAGAUAAGGAACACACAAUCACGUAGGAGAAGUCUGAUUUAAGGGACCCCUGUGACUAAACACUGACAGUAUAACACAGGAACUCUAGCAGAUGUGAGACUAAAACUUAACUCUUCGAGGCAUCUCGUGCAAGAUUUUAAACCACAGCAAGUGACCAGCAUGCAGAUGGCAGUAACAGACCAUUGCCACGUGACUGGGGCUGUGAAUAGCUGCCUAUCUGCUGUCCAAAAGCUCAGCUAGAUCUGAUGCAAUACCGUAGACUUUAACUUGGGGCUGCAUGAAUAUUGUGUCAUUUGGGUGCUCACUGCAACUUGGAAGAGAAGAGGAUAUCCAGCACCAUGAGGACAGAAAGUUUCCUAAGGCCAAGAAAACCUUUUUGAAAUGAAAGAUUUCAGCAAAAUAUUCCAGAUUUGACAACUUGGUAACGUCCCUUUCAAAUGAACAUGGAAGAACAUGCAGAUGAAGUCAAAUCUCCGUUGACUGGUUUGUGACCAAUGGGACAGACUUUCCAGGAAUCCUUUCACCUGCCAGCUGCAGGAACUAUUUCCCACGUGAUACUGAAAUUCAUACAGUAAGAUGAGUGCCUGUUCUUUGCUUGAAAGUCAGAACAUUGUAAUUGUUUUGAAGAUUAAUUUGUUCCAUUCCAAUCAUCAUUACUUUCCUAUCUAUUUCUUUGUUGAUUAUUUAGUGGAAUAUUUUCUUGAUACUCAGUCUGACCACUGCAGUUUGAUUAAUGUUUUUACAAAAAGUAGGAUAAAUAUAAGUAGAGAUUUCUUUAAAAGGAAUACGGUUGAGUAGAGUGGAGAGAGAAAGAUUUUAUAUAGUGCAAGAAAUUGAUAACAAAAUUGACUACAGGAAAUACUGAUCUCUCUACGUUGUGGGUCAGUUCUUAAAACAUUUGGUGCAAUUUAUUGCAAUUUAUAGCAAUUGCUGUUCUCAUGCUAAGCAUCAUUGGCAUAGGUGAUUAUCUGAUGGAACUUCAGAGUUUCUGGAUUUCCAAAGUCUUGACUCUAGUAUUUUUUUUCUUAAUUAUUGUUUCAAAGAAACAGCUUCAAGGAGCAGGGUCUCUCUGUCUCUAUCUAAAAGAUGGCCUGGGUAUGCUUUCCUUUGUGUCCUGUAUUCCCACUAGAUUCGUUGAUCUUUCCUUGGUUGACCACAGAGAUCUUCUAGUUCCAACAUGUGAGUUUCUAUACAGACCUACAGAGGGAUGGGGAACAUCCCCACCCUAUCCUGCCAUACAUGGUCAGGAUAAAGAACUGUAUUAACAGUUAGUAGGCAUGUUGAGUUACAGCAGUUGAAGACAUACUUUAGCCAUAUAUGUAGAAAGUUUAAAGCAUCACACAUUCUCUUCUCACUAUAGCUUUGCUAUAAUGUUAACAAAUGCAUCAUUUAAUUGAUAAUAGCUGGUGUUCAAAGCUACCAUUCAGGGCUUAUCUGCACUUUAUUAUUACUGUUUUUUUCUGUUUUCACUCCUCAAGUAGCAACUGCCAGGUGGAAAUGUAAAAGUAAAUAAAAUAAUAGAUUGUACCUGCAAAUACAUGUGGAGCAUGUUUACAAAUAUGGAAAUGACUGCUGGACUGCUGGCAGUUGGUUAAUGAAAAGUCAAACUCUUUGGUAAACACAAGUAUUUACCAUUUUGAAAAAGCAUUGUAAGUUUGGAGGAAGGAGCACCUUUGUGUUAGUAUUAUCUGUAGCUUUUGGGAAGAAAAAUAAGAUACACAGUGUUGUUUACAUUUUGUUUCAGUCACACAGUGAUCAGACAUGAGUCAAACCCUUUUAAACAUAUUUUCCUGACUACAAUGUACUGUUUCAAAGGGUUGAAGAUAUUAAAUAUAUCUUAUAUAUAUAUAUAUAUAUAAUAUAUAUAUUAAAGAUAUUUCAUGAAGUUCUUAUUUCAUGGCACAGUUACAAGUAGAUAUUUCCUUCUUCAUUUUCACAAUGUCCUUCCUCUUCUCACUGAAUUAAAAUGGUGCCCUCUAGAAAAACAGGGAAGAAAAUAUCUUGCUGUAGAAAUGGGCUAUGCACAAGCACUUAGACAAAAUCUGUCACAUAGAAAAUACAGGAUCCACAGCAACAAAUCAUGUCCAGAAGAAAUUGGUAUAAAUAAAAUAGAUAAAUUUAUUUAUAAAAUUAGGGAAUAGGGAAGAUAAAAUUAGGGAAACAUUUGCAAGGGUGGCCUACCAGAGACAAGGAGGUGUAAAUGAAUAGAGUUCUUUUAAACUUUUCCCUAGUAGUGCUAUUAUUGUUAUUACUAUUACUAUGACUACUAGUACUAAUACUACUAUUACUACUACUACUACUAAGUUCUAUCCUGGAGUGCUUAUGCCUUGAAGUAUAACAGUUCUAUCCUGGAGUGCUUAUGCCUUGAAGUAUAACAGUUCUAUCCUGGAGUGCUUAUGCCUUGAAGUAUAACAACUCUUCAGAAAAAGAUAGAGAACAAUCUAGAUUUUAGCAAUACUUUCAUGUAGUUUUAAAGUUGUUGCUUAUGUUCGUAGUGGCAGAAAUCUGCAGACUCUGAGGGAAAGUGUCAGCAAGAGUUUGCGAGAACAUAGGUAUAUGUCUGGGUAGUAUGGAAUGUGAAGUCAUGCAAUAGGUUUUCAGAACUGUCACUGCCCAGAAGAUCCACAUGCAUGUGUACUAGGGGCUGAAAUCUAUUGCAUCAACAAGGGCAAAAUUACAAAGAACCAUAACAAAAAGUUUUAGAUAGUAGUUUUUUUAAUAGAAAGAAAUUAUGUAGGUAUUUAUAUGAGGAAAAGCUGCUAAUGUUCUGCUUGGGCUGACAGGGAUAAUAAGGGUGGUAACAGUUCUAAGCACCAUUCAUAGAUUGGGGUUGAGUCUCGCUAGGAAGUGAAGGAGUAAUGUAACUUGGGCAGACCCAUAGGAAAGAAGAACAAAAAUCUUAACAGAGACAGGGAACCAGAGAGAAGGGAAUGUACACGAACAAAGCAAAAACUCCAGGUUAAAACAGCUAGGUGUCAGAAUUAGCAGUAUCCAUGAGAGUGAGAAGUAUCUAUGGGAAAAUGUGAAAGAAGAUGAAGGGCAAAAGAGGGAACAGAAUGCAGAAGUGGGCUGUGAAUCAGCAGCACAGAAUGACCAGAGCAAUAUGUGAGAAGGGAUAAAAUAGUAGAAAUUAGUGGUUUGAUGUAAGGAACACUUUCAGCAGAAUGGGGCCAAUGGACUAGAAGAUGCUUAUAAUGGCUAAAUCAUAGGUUUUGCAGAGUACUAUUACAGCAUUUUGACAGUGCUCAAUACAGACAAAACUGAACUUUCUUUGCUUUCUAAAUUGCAGGUAAUGCCAUUAAUUAAAAGUCUUUUUUUAUAGAAAGGGGCUAAGACGCUUAUAUGUUCCUUUCAAACAACCAUCUUCUCCCAAAUCUGAAUCUCUUUCUCUGUAAUUUUAGCCUGAAAUGAUAAAGAUUUGAAUAUUUAUUUAUUUAUGAAAACAUAUCUGUGAUUUUUAUCUUGUCUGUUCACCUUGUUUUCUGUAUCUUAUUAUUUCUGUAUAACUUUUGAUGCUGUUAUUCUUCCAUCAAGUGCAAAUGCACUUCAUCCUCAGAAGAACUGUAGAUUAGACAAAUAAUUUUCUCUAUGAAAAAGCAGAAUUGAAGAUGCAAAAUUAAGUUUCGUUAAAAGUUCAUGUACAGAGUGAGUUCUUGAUUUCUAAACACUGAAAGUGGAUAUUUCAUAUGGAAUUCAGCGAAUAGUUUCUCUUCAGUUCUUUUAAGCAUAUAAUGAUUCUUGUGUUGCAUAAGUGAUGGAAUUAUUGGCUCCCCUGCCAUGCCUUAGCUGAUGUCCUGUGGUUCACCUGGCUUGAUUCAUGCUAGCAAUCUCCAAAUCCAACAACAGUGCCCAAGUUUCAAGCAAAACAGGUAAUAUUUUUUUUCUAGUUAGUGCACUUUGCUUGUCUAUUAUGGGGAAAAAAAAAACAAAAACAAACAAACAAAAAACCUAAACCAUAAUGAAAAAGAAAAACAGUUGUGUACACUGCUAGGCUAGAAAUACUAUGAGAAGCUGUUGAUGUAUGGGGCAAGAACUGUCAAAUCAGAAGGCACAUCCCCUUAGUGAGUCAUGGAGAUUUGUUGAUUAAAAAAACAUUUAAGUACAUGUUAAUGAAAUGUUUUGUUUCACUGUGAGCCUUUUAUUAUACCAAACCACUAGAAGUUUUCUGCACUUUUCUGAAGUCCUGCAGUAAAACAUGAAGUGUUGGGAGCAACUUCUUGAAGAUGCAUUCUCUACUUAACCCAGUUCUGCUUGAGAAUCUAAAAAAGAAUCUAAUCUGUAUGAAUGUUAUCUGAGAGAAGUGAAAAAAAAAACAACCACAUUCCUCUUUCAAACUGUUUUGAUGUACUUCUAUCACAUCAUUCCUUCCUCAUCUCUCUUACAAGCUGAAGUAUCUUAUUUAAAAUGUCCUCAGAUGAAGGAAUUCCUAUUGGUAAUCUUUCCAUUACCCUACACUCUUCCUUUACAGGUUCCAUCAUACCUUUUUGGCGAUGAAAAGUACUGGAUGUAGUGUUCUAAAUGUCUGCCCACCAUGCAUUUAACAUGGAAAGUGACCCAGAGCAGAGGGAUAAAAUAACCUUUGUAUCCUCUUGUACCUGAACAGCAUGAGCUGGUCUGGGGAACGGUCAGCUCUGCCCUUCAGACUUCAAUUGCAUCCGGCCAUGUAUGCUAUGCAGGUUUCUUGUUCACUGGGUGAUCUUGAAGUGGCCUUGCUAAAAGCUCUCUCUGCCAUUUCCAAAGGAGAUAAAUCUACCUAGAGCCCUGGGAAGCAGAAUUGCUCUUCUUUUUGAAGUGAAGGACCAGUGGUGAACUGGCAAUGAUCAUGACAGUGCCCCUCAUUACUCCAGCCCUCAGCACAUGAGCCCAGGCGACAUGCACUCUAUGCUCUGCUGAGGAAGAUCACAGCGAUCUUGAUAUGAUGGCACAGGACAAGAAUACAUAGACUUGGCUGGAUCAAAAGCAAUGUGCUGAGACUCUACAUCAUCUUGGUGCUUCAGGAGACUAAUUUCUGGACUAAACAGUCUUUGAAAUGAUUCCACAUCACGAGCUUCCGUCCCCACCUUAGUCAAGUCCUGUGAUCACCAAGGCAGACAAAGACAAGCACAGAAAACUGAGGACAAAUCAGGAGCUUCACAGACUGUUUUUAAUUGGGAGGAAACAAAAGAAAAAAUAUCACAAUUUGUACAAGAUGGUGAGAUGGACUCAUUUUAUGAGUAAUAAAAUAAACUUUGGUUCUCAUUUAUUCUAAUUGUCCUGAAAGAUCUUCUAGAGGCAAACAUGAGAGACACAAGACAAAUUACAAAAUUUUCAUCCCUAUCACACAAUUUGUCAUGUUACAGACAUCAGCAAAGAACUAACUUGACUCUGCCUUUAACGCAGGUCAUCUUCUAGAAGUCAUCUUAUUAUGCUACAGUUUUUAAGUUGGGCUGCCCAAAUAGUCUCAAUAUUUUACUGGUAUUGAAGGAAAAAAAUCUCAUGCUAAAUAUAGUGGAAACAAAGCAAAGAAAUAGAGAAUAAUAAAAAAAAAAAAUACCACCAGUCCCAAAGAGUCACUGAUUUUAUACUGAUUGCAUCUAGACUGACUUUUAAUGGUCUGAGUCCAGGAUUCCAUUAGUGUUUAAUAAAUGAUGGUAAUGAUAUCCUACCUAAACAAUGCACACAGAGCUCCCAUUGACUUCAACAUGAGUUCUCGGUGCAGACUGAUGGCAGGAUAUUCCUGUGACAGAGAUGAAUUUUCCAUUAGAACAAAAUGAGGAAGACCUGUCUCAGUCAGCAGAAUUCACAGCAACAAGAAAUAUUCCUUGGGGGCUCAGUGAAAGAUGGCCAUCCUGAGUGGUGGAAAGUAAAUUGGGUGGGAAACUGUGAGGCAUACUUGGACAGUUGUAAAACCAAUUAAAACCAUCAUGCAGUUAUAUUGAUGUUUAAUUUGUAUCAUCUGGAAACCACAACUUCCUUUCUCAUCACACCAUGGGGGAAAUUGCUGUUCUUUUUUAUAUGAAGGCAAAGAGUGCAUUUAAUAUUGGGAUAGAAGAGAGAGUGUGUACGUCUAGUACUAUGUCUUGAUUACCAACUUUCACUCAGAAUAGGGAAAGGAAAAAUGAAAUGCUGUUAGUUAUAAACAAUGGAGAACCAUUACCCAUACAGAAAUUUGGGCAACGACACAAAGAAUUCAGCUGAACGUUUUCCUU
ensembl:lncRNA